rnacentral:rRNA from 1 species
UAAGGGGGGUGCAAGCGUUAUUCGGAAUUAUUGGGCGUAAAGGGCGCGUAGGCGGUUGAAUAAGUCAGAUGUGAGAGCCCUUGGCUUAACCAAGGAAGUGCAUUUGAUACUAUUUGACUUGAGUAUGGGAGAGGGAAGUGGAAUUCCUGGUGUAGAGGUGAAAUUCGUAGAUAUCAGGAGGAACACCGGUGGCGAAAGAGUCUUCCUGGACCAAUACUGACGAUGAGCCGCGAUGGCGUGGGGAGCAAACAGG